rnacentral:snRNA from 1 species
UUGCUGUUGACUUAUUCACU